rnacentral:rRNA from 1 species
CCUACGGGAGGCAGCAGUGAGGAAUAUUGGUCAAUGGGCGCGAGCCUGAACCAGCCAAGUCGCGUGAGGGAAGACGGUCCUAUGGAUUGUAAACCUCUUUUGUCGGGGAGCAAAAGACGCCACGCGUGGCGUUCCGAGAGUACCCGAAGAAAAAGCAUCGGCUAACUCCGUGCCAGCAGCCGCGGUAAUACGGAGGAUGCGAGCUUUAUCCGGAUUUAUUGGGUUUAAAGGGUGCGCAGGCGGAAGAUCAAGUCAGCGGGAAAAUUGAGAGGCUCAACCUCUUCGAGCCGUUGAAACUGGUUUUCUUGAGUGAGUGAGAAGUAUGCGGAAUGCGUGGUGUAGCGGUGAAAUGCAUAGAUAUCACGCAGAACUCCGAUUGCGAAGGCAGCAUACCGGCGCUCAACUGACGCUCAUGCACGAAAGUGUGGGUAUCGAACAGGAUUAGAUACCCUGGUAGUC